AGCAGCCGCGGUAAUUCCAGCUCCAAUAGCGUAUAUUAAAGUUGUUGCAGUUAAAAGCUCGUAGUUGAAUUUCGGGAUUGACGUGACGGUCAUGCCUUAAGGGGUAUGAACUGUUACUGUUGAUUUCUCACCUUCUGGAGAAACUUGAUGUCCUUUAUUGGGUGUCUUGCGGAUCCAGGACCUUUACCUUGAAAAAAUUAGAGUGUUUAAAGCAGGCAUUUUUGCUCGAAUACAUUAGCAUGGAAUAAUAGAAUAGGACGGCAUGGUUCUAUUUUGUUGGUUUCUAGGAUCACCGUAAUGAUUAAUAGGGAUAGUUGGGGGCAUUAGUAUUCAAUUGUCAGAGGUGAAAUUCUUGGAUUUAUUGAAGACUAACUACUGCGAAAGCAUUUGCCAAGGAUGUUUUCAUUAAUCAAGAACGAAGUUAGGGGAUCGAAGACGAUCAGAUACCGUCGUAGUCUUAACCAUAAACUAUGCCGACUAGGAAUCAGACGAUGUUAAUUUUUAAUGACUCGUUGGCUAC
rnacentral:rRNA from 1 species